UUGCUUCCUGGAUUAGUGGCGAACGGGUGAGUAACACGUGAGUAACCUGCCCUUGACUCUGGGAUAAGCGUUGGAAACGACGUCUAAUACCGGAUAUGACCUGUGACGGCAUCGUCUGCAGGUGGAAAGAAUUUUGGUCAAGGAUGGACUCGCGGCCUAUCAGGUAGUUGGUGAGGUAACGGCUCACCAAGCCGACGACGGGUAGCCGGCCUGAGAGGGUGACCGGCCACACUGGGACUGAGACACGGCCCAGACUCCUACGGGAGGCAGCAGUGGGGAAUAUUGCACAAUGGGCGAAAGCCUGAUGCAGCAACGCCGCGUGAGGGACGACGGCCUUCGGGUUGUAAACCUCUUUUAGUUGGGAAGAAGGGAGCUUGCUCUUGACGAUACCAGCAGAAAAAGCACCGGCUAACUACGUGCCAGCAGCCGCGGUAAUACGUAGGGUGCAAGCGUUGUCCGGAAUUAUUGGGCGUAAAGAGCUCGUAGGCGGUUUGUCGCGUCUGCUGUGAAAUCUGGGGGCUCAACCCCCAGCCUGCAGUGGGUACGGGCAGACUAGAGUGCGGUAGGGGAGAUUGGAAUUCCUGGUGUAGCGGUGGAAUGCGCAGAUAUCAGGAGGAACACCGAUGGCGAAGGCAGAUCUCUGGGCCGUUACUGACGCUGAGGAGCGAAAGCAUGGGGAGCGAACAGGAUUAGAUACCCUGGUAGUCCAUGCCGUAAACGUUGGGAACUAGAUGUAGGGGCCAUUCCACGGUUUCUGUGUCGCAGCUAACGCAUUAAGUUCCCCGCCUGGGGAGUACGGCCGCAAGGCUAAAACUCAAAGGAAUUGACGGGGGCCCGCACAAGCGGCGGAGCAUGCGGAUUAAUUCGAUGCAACGCGAAGAACCUUACCAAGGCUUGACAUAUACCGGAAACGUCCAGAGAUGGUCGCCCCGCAAGGUCGGUAUACAGGUGGUGCAUGGUUGUCGUCAGCUCGUGUCGUGAGAUGUUGGGUUAAGUCCCGCAACGAGCGCAACCCUCGUUCUAUGUUGCCAGCACGUUAUGGUGGGAACUCAUAGGAGACUGCCGGGGUCAACUCGGAGGAAGGUGGGGAUGACGUCAAAUCAUCAUGCCCCUUAUGUCUUGGGCUUCACGCAUGCUACAAUGGCUGAUACAAAGGGCUGCAAUACCGCGAGGUGGAGCGAAUCCCAAAAAGUCGGUCUCAGUUCGGAUUGAGGUCUGCAACUCGACCUCAUGAAGUCGGAGUCGCUAGUAAUCGCAGAUCAGCAACGCUGCGGUGAAUACGUUCCCGGGCCUUGUACACACCGCCCGUCAAGUCAUGAAAGUCGGUAACACCCGAAGCCGGGGCCCAAC
rnacentral:rRNA from 1 species